rnacentral:rRNA from 1 species
AAAGCCCGGGGCUCAACCUCGGAACCGCAUUUGAAACUGGCAGGCUAGAGUCUUGUAGAGGGGGGUAGAAUUUCAGGUGUAGCGGUGAAAUGCGUAGAGAUCUGAAGGAAUACCAGUGGCGAAGGCGGCCCCCUGGACAAAGACUGACGCUCAGAUGCGAAAGCGUGGGUAGCAAACAGGAUUAGAUACCCUGGUAGUCCACGCCGUAAACGCUGUCUACUUGGAGGUUGAGGUUUAAGACUUUGGCUUUCGGCGCUAACGCAUUAAGUAGACCGCCUGGGGAGUACGGCCGCAAGGUUAAAACUCAAAUGAAUUGACGGGGGCCCGCACAAGCGGUGGAGCAUGUGGUUUAAUUCGAUGCAACGCGAAGAACCUUACCUACUCUUGACAUCCAGAGAACUUUCCAGAGAUGGAUUGGUGCCUUCGGGAACUCUGAGACAGGUGCUGCAUGGCUGUCGUCAGCUCGUGUUGUGAAAUGUUGGGUUAAGUCCCGCAACGAGCGCAACCCUUAUCCUUGUUUGCCAGCACGUAAUGGUGGGAACUCUAGGGAGACUGCCGGUGACAAACCGGAGGAAGGUGGGGAUGACGUCAAGUCAUCACGGCCCUUACGUCCUGGGCUACACACGUGCUACAAUGGCAGAUACAGAGGGCAGCGAAGCUGCGAAGUGGAGCGAAUCCCUUAAAGUCUGUCGUAGUCCGGAUUGGAGUCUGCAACUCGACUCCAUGAAGUCGGAAUCGCUA